GAGUUUGAUCAUGGCUCAGGAUGAACGCUAGCGGCAGGCUUAACACAUGCAAGUCGAGGGGCAGCACGAUGUAGCAAUACAUGGGUGGCGACCGGCGCACGGGUGCGUAACACGUAUGGAAUCUGCCUUUUACUGGGAGACUAGCCCGGAGAAAUCCGGAUUAAUAUCCCAUAACAAGCGAGGUGGCAUCACUUUGCUUUGAAAGCUCCGGCGGUAAAAGAUGACCAUGCGCCCGAUUAGCUAGUUGGUGAGGUAACGGCUCACCAAGGCUACGAUCGGUAGGGGGCCUGAGAGGGUUAUCCCCCACACUGGUACUGAGACACGGACCAGACUCCUACGGGAGGCAGCAGUGAGGAAUAUUGCGCAAUGGAGGCAACUCUGACGCAGCCAUGCCGCGUGCAGGAAGAAGGCGCUACGCGUUGUAAA
rnacentral:rRNA from 1 species